rnacentral:rRNA from 1 species
CGUGCGAAUGCUUACACAUGCAGUCGAUUCAAGUUACCUUCGGGUAAUGAGGAUGGCGGACGGGUGAGUAACGCGUAAGGAACUUGCCUCUUGGACUGGGACAACUGUUGGAAACGACAGCUAAUACCGGAUAUUAUGAGAUUCUCGCAUGAGAAACUUAUGAAAGCUAUAUGCGCCAAGAGAGAGCCUUGCGUUCCAUUAGCUAGUUGGUGGGGUAAUGGCCCACCAAGGCGACGAUGGAUAGCCGGCCUGAGAGGGUGAACGGCCACAAGGGGACUGAGACACGGCCCUUACUCCUACGGGAGGCAGCAGUGGGGAAUAUUGGACAAUGGGCCACAAGCCUGAUCCAGCAAUUCUGUGUGCACGAUGAAGGUCUUCGGAUUGUAAAGUGCUUUCAGUUGGGAAGAAGAAAGUGACGGUACCAACAGAAGAAGCGACGGCUAAAUACGUGCCAGCAGCCGCGGUAAUACGUAUGUCGCAAGCGUUAUCCGGAUUUAUUGGGCGUAAAGCGCGUCUAGGCGGAAAAAUAAGUCUGAUGUUAAAAUGCGGGGCUCAACUCCGUAUUGCGUUGGAAACUGUUUUUCUAGAGUACUGGAGAGGUGGGCGGAACUACAAGUGUAGAGGUGAAAUUCGUAGAUAUUUGUAGGAAUGCCGAUGGAGAAGUCAGCUCACUGGACAGGUACUGACGCUGAAGCGCGAGAGCGUGGGGAGCAAACAGGAUUAGAUACCCUGGUAGUCCACGCCGUAAACGAUGAUCACUAGGUGUUGGGGGUCGAACCUCAGCGCCCAAGCUAACGCGAUAAGUGAUCCGCCUGGGGAGUACGCACGCAAGUGUGAGACUCAAAGGAAUUGACGGGGACCCGCACAAGCGGUGGAGCAUGUGGUUUAAUUCGACGCAACGCGAGAAACCUUACCAGCGUUUGACAUCCUAAGAAGUUUCCAGAGAUGGAUUCGUGCCGGCUUGCCGGAACUUAGUGACAGGUGGUGCAUGGCUGUCGUCAGCUCGUGUCCUGAAAUGUUUGGGUUAAGUCCCGCAACGAGCGCAACCCCUAUUGGAUGUUGCUACCAUUUAAGUUGAGCACUCUUGGGG